rnacentral:lncRNA from 1 species
CAAGAACUGUUGACUUGUAGAAAAAAUUGUACUGUGAAGGCAAUAGAAGCAGUGAAGUUGAGGAGCAGGAAGCUUCAGUGAAGGUUGAUGAGAUUCUUGCGGACAAAGAGUCUCUUUCCUCUUUAGAUGCUUUCUACCAAACAAUCAAAUCCAGUCUGAUCGUGAUAAUUGCUGAAGGAGCAUGAUGGCUAAAAGAAAAACUGCCAAGUGAAGCCGAGGGGCUGUGAGCUAAAGUUUGAUGAUUGACUUAUUCAUAAAUAGGAGGUAAUCUUGUGGAGAUUACCUCAAUUUUCAUCUAAUGGGUGGAUGAAAAUACUGGUCAUAAGAGUACGCUAUCAUGAACUUUGGACUUUUAUUUUGUCAGGGUUGAACUUUUCUUUUGUCGAGGCUGUCAUUUGACAUGUUUCGAGUCAAGAGUCUUGGUGGGCUGUUGUAUACGGAUAAUGAAGCUAAUUUCGUUUGUCAUAUGUAGAUGCCUUACUUCCCAUACUGGCUUGCAUGCGAAGGAGGCAUAUCUUAGAGGUGAUGUGUUUGGGUAGAUGAAACCUUGGGAGGUGAUACCUAAGGCCUGUUUGAAGCUGUUGUGAUAUCUUCCUGAUACUUUGUCUGAUAGAUUUUUAGAUAACUUUCACAGGAGAACUGAAUAACAUUCUGUUGAUGACGAUUUUUUUAUUAACCGUUGUUGUUAGUUUUGACUUGGCUUUGUGUCUUUAUAUGGGACUUCAUGAUGAGACGUUGGGCCAUGUUGGUCUGUUGAGAUGAGUGUGGUGAUGAAGUCUUGGGCUCAUAUCUUUUGAGAGUUUGCGUGGAGCGGAUGGCGCAUUAGUGUUUAAGUGCCUUGAAGCCGUGGAAGCCAUGGGCUCAUAUUAUUUGAAUGUUUCCACAAAUUUGUCUAUUCAGGAUGAAUAUUCUUGAAUGAGCUACAUUAUUGAGAAUUCCCUGCAUGGUCUUGGAGAUGUGUGCUUGGGACUGGCUUUAAGUGUUGCACUGCAAUUAAAUUCAUUGUGAGAGCCCUCACUAUACCAUAGAUUGGCUAUUGCAACCACUCAAAAAAAAAAUAUCUCAAAAUCGU